CCUACGGGAGACAGCAGUGAGGAAUAUUGGUCAAUGGACGCAAGUCUGAACCAGCCAUGCCGCGUGCAGGAAGACGGCUCUAUGAGUUGUAAACUGCUUUUGUACGAGGGUAAACUCAGAUACGCGUAUCUGUCUGAAAGUAUCUUACGAAUAAGGAUAGGCUAACUCCGUGCCAGCAGCCGCGGUAAUACGGAGGAUUCAAGCGUUAACCGGAUUUAUUGGGUUUAAAGGGUGCGUAGGCGGUCGGUUAAGUUAGAGGUGAAAUCCCGGGGCGCAACUUAAGAAUUGCCUUUGAUACUGUUAGGUGAGAGAGUAGUGGAGGUAGGCGGAAUGUAUGGUGUAGCGGUGAAAUGCUUAGAGAUCAUCAAGAACACCGAUUGCGAAGGCAGCUUACCAAGCUACGUCUGACGUUGAGGCACGAAAGCGUGGGGAGCAAACAGGAUUAGAUACCCUUGUAGUC
rnacentral:rRNA from 1 species